rnacentral:rRNA from 1 species
GACGAACGCUGGCGGCGUGCUUAACACAUGCAAGUCGAACGGAAAGGCCCUGCUUGCAGGGUACUCGAGUGGCGAACGGGUGAGUAACACGUGGGUGAUCUGCCCUUCACUUCGGGAUAAGCCUGGGAAACUGGGUCUAAUACCGGAUAGGAGCCAUUUUUAGUGUGAUGGUUUGAAAGUUUUUUCGGUGUAGGAUGUGCUCGCGGCCUAUCAGCUUGUUGGUGGGGUAGUGGCCUACCAAGGCGGCGACGGGUAGCCGGCCUGAGAGGGUGGACGGCCACAUUGGGACUGAGAUACGGCCCAGACUCCUACGGGAGGCAGCAGUGGGGAAUAUUGCACAAUGGGCGCAAGCCUGAUGCAGCGACGCCGCGUGGGGGAUGACGGCCUUCGGGUUGUAAACUGCUUUCGCUAGGGACGAAGCUUUUUGUGACGGUACCUAGAUAAGAAGCACCGGCUAACUACGUG